AUGCAGCAAGCAGAAUAAGCUUCAUCCUCAGCAGGACAAGACAAAAGUGGUUUUUGCAACGUGUUUUGCAGAGAAAAGGAAAAAUGCUUUCAUUCCAAUUUACGUUUUGGAGAUUGAAUGAAAAUUAUCCUGACUUGAGUUCCCACCACAUAUCUACCCCUACAAAUUAAACAACAUUAUCUGAAGGCUUCUUCUCAGAAUAAUCACUGUGUUGACACCAACCAGGAGCUGCUGGCCAUUGGCACUUCCUUCUCAGCCAUCACCCGUUCCUGGGAAGUGAGAUGCUCCCCUCUGUUAUGCGUGAGGAAGAUGUGUCCUUUUCGUCUUUGUCCUGACUAGAAGUCUGCCUGUCCUGACCCCACAUCCCGUCCUCAGCUGUGAACUGUCCAUGUGAACUGUCUGAGGGCUGACCUUCCCUCAGAAGAUCAGCCACAGCAGCAUGGACUGAUGUCAUCCUGCUGUCCUCCAGGGUGUCCUCUGGUUUCUUUGCACUCAUAGUCAGGACUGCAGUUUAAUACUCAAAAGUUCACUGGGCGCAGUGGUUCACACCUGUAAUCCCAGCACUUUGGGAGGCCGAGGCGGGAGGAUCACUUGAGGUCAGGAGUUCAAGACCAAACUGACCAACAUGGUGAAACCCUGUCUCU
rnacentral:lncRNA from 10 species